UGAGGAAUAUUGGUCAAUGGGCGCAAGCCUGAACCAGCCAAGUAGCGUGAAGGAUGACUGCCCUAUGGGUUGUAAACUUCUUUUAUACGGGAACAAACGAAGGUACGUGUACCUUUUUGCGUGUACCGUAUGAAUAAGCAUCGGCUAACUCCGUGCCAGCAGCCGCGGUAAUACGGAGGAUGCGAGCGUUAUCCGGAUUUAUUGGGUUUAAAGGGAGCGUAGGUGGCCUGUUAAGCCAGCUGUGAAAUACUGUAGCUCAACUACAGCCGUGCAGUUGGAACUGGCGGGCUUGAGUGCACUAGAGGAAGGUGGAAUUCGUGGUGUAGCGGUGAAAUGUUUAGAUAUCACGAAGAACUCCGAUUGCGAAGGCAGCCUUCUGGAGUGUAACUGACACUGAUGCUCGAAAGUGUGGGUAUCGAACAGG
rnacentral:rRNA from 2 species